GAUGAAGAACGUAGCGAAAUGCGAUAAGUAAUGCGAAUUGCAGAAUCCGUGAGUCAUCGAAUCUUUGAACGCAUAUUGCGCCCUUUGGUAUUCCGGGGGGCAUGCCUGUUCGAGCGUCAUUUCACCACUCAAGCCUCGCUUGGUAUUGGGCAACGCGGUCCGCCGCGUGCCUCAAAUCGUCCGGCUGGGUCUUCUGUCCCCUAAGCGUUGUGGAAACUAUUCGCUAAAGGGUGUUCGGGAGGCUACGCCGUAAAACAACCCCAUCUCUAAGGUUGACCUCGGAUCAGGUAGGGAUACCCGCUGAACUUAAGCAUAUCAAUAAGCGGAGGA
rnacentral:misc_RNA from 1 species